GCGCCGUAGCGCGAUGGUGUCCGAUGCUGCCCCCGCGCGAAGUGACUCUUAAUCAGCGGGUCGGAGGUUCGAGUCCUCCACGGCCCACCA
rnacentral:tRNA from 1 species